AUGUAGGGCAAUCUCUGUCUCUCAGUAGGGAUAAAUUACUAUAAAGAAAAUGAUCCUAGAUCAUUUUUCCCUUAAAGUCAAACAUCUUGU
rnacentral:pre_miRNA from 1 species